CCUACGGGGGGCUGCAGUGGGGAAUAUUGGACAAUGGGGGGAACCCUGAUCCAGCCAUGCCGCGUGUGUGAAGAAGGCCCUUGGGUUGUAAAGCACUUUCAGUGAGGAAGAACGCCUGGUGGUUAAUACCCAUCAGGAAAGACAUCACUCACAGAAGAAGCACCGGCUAACUCCGUGCCAGCAGCCGCGGUAAUACGGAGGGUGCGAGCGUUAAUCGGAAUUACUGGGCGUAAAGCGCGCGUAGGUGGCUUGAUAAGUCGGUUGUGAAAGCCCCGGGCUCAACCUGGGAACGGCAUCCGGAACUGUCAAGCUAGAGUGCAGGAGAGGAAGGUAGAAUUCCCGGUGUAGCGGUGAAAUGCGUAGAGAUCGGGAGGAAUACCAGUGGCGAAGGCGGCCUUCUGGACUGACACUGACACUGAGGUGCGAAAGCGUGGGUAGCAAACAGGAUUAGAUACCCCGGUAGUC
rnacentral:rRNA from 1 species